CUGUAAAUAGCUUAUUAAAAGUUUAAGAUUCUUACUCUUGGGAUGUGUGUUUAACACUUUGCAGA
rnacentral:tRNA from 1 species